rnacentral:rRNA from 1 species
GACGAACGCUGGCGGGGGUGCGUGAGACAUGCAAGUCGAACGAGGUGCCAACGAGCUUGCUCGAUGGUUACCGAGUGGCGGACGGCUGAGUAACGCGUAGGUGACCUGCCCGGAAGUGGGGAAUAACUGCCCGAAAGGGUGGCUAAUAUCGCAUGUGGUCGACGAUUCAAUUCGUCGUCUAAAGGAGUAAUCCGCCUCCGGAGGGGCCUGCGUCCGAUUAGCUAGUUGGUGGGGUAACGGCNCACCAAGGCGACGAUCGGUAGCUGGUCUGAGAGGAUGAUCAGCCAGACUGGGACUGAGAACGGCCCAGACUCCUACGGGAGGCAGCAGUCGGGAAUUUUGCCCAAUGGACGAAAGUCUGAGGCAGCAACUCCGCGUGAGGGAUGAAGGCUCUAGGGUCGUAAACCUCUUUUCUCAGGGAAGAUCCAAGACGGUACCUGAGGAAUAAGCCACGCUAACUACGUGCCAGCCGCCGCCGUAU